rnacentral:lncRNA from 1 species
UCUUGAGUGUUGUGUGUUUCAAUUUGUGGAGUUUAAAAAUUGGUAUGAGCAUAUGGUGUCACUGGUUCUCGCAUCUAAGUAGUAGCAUUCCAUUCAUGAGAUCAUAUCUAUAAACAUGCUUAUUAACUCCGGAAAUUGCUUUCUUUGUUAUACAUAUAUGUGAGCAUUCGUUUUUAUUGUUACAUCAAUCUUCUCACAUAUAACUAGUGUAGGGUGUGUAGUUAGAAAAUCUGAGUGAAAAUAGAGUGCAUAUCUUGUAAGGAAUUGAGGGAAUUCUCUAAGGCAUGUUACUACAUUCAAAACAUUGUUUUAAUUGGUUAAAUGUGAACUAGUAAGUAGUGACUAUGAUUAAGUAUGGGCUUAAGUGUAAAGAUGGUUAAAAUCUGUGGGAAUGAUGAUUUUUAACAUGUCAUGUGCAUUGGAAAUCCCUGAGGCGAUUGUUGGAAGGUUUAGGUUGUUUUACUUGUUUUAUUUCGUUUUGUUCUUUUGUUUCGUUUCGUUUUGCUCGAGGACUAGCAAAAGCUAAGUGUGGGGGAAUUUGAUAGGAGCAUAUUUAUGCGCCUUAGUUUAGCUUGUUCUUGUACAUUUAUAGUGUUUUUGCUUAGUAAAGUAGUCUUUUAAGAUAGUUUUAUGUGUUUUCAGGUUCUAAGGGCAAAGUAUGCAAAAGGAUGCAUUUUGGAGCCUUUUGGAGCAAAGUUGAGCUUGGAAUGGAUGUCAUAUGCUUGGAGCCAAGAGGAUGGACGAAAUUGAAGAUUUGAAGAUGAUGUUUCCUACUUGAACAAGGUUCCCUAGUCGAAGUAGGAAAGUGCCUAAGUGAAGAUGGAAUCUGAUAGGAGCAUAUUUAUGCGCCUUAGUUAGCUAGUUCUUAUGCAUUUUAGUUAUGUGUUCUUAGUUUAAAGUAGUCUUUUAAGUUAGUUUCAUGUGUUUUCAGGUUUUAAGAGCAUAUUACAUAAAAUGAUGCAAUUUGGAGCAUUUGAGAGCAAAAUUGAGCUGGAAUGGAGUGUAUGCUUAUGGAGCACAAGGAAUGGACGAGUUUGAAGGUCAAAGGAGCUUAAGAAAUGAAGAAAUGAAAGUGAAGAACAAAGAAGUCGGAAUUGGCAACCAAAGUUUCUAAAGUUGGAAGUUUCUAUUCUUAGAGGUUUCCAUUUUCGAGAGUUUCUAUUCUUGGUUUUGGGCUUUCUAGAAGCCUUAUCUACAAACCCUAACCCUAGCCCACUAAUCAGCCGCACCUAGCCUUCUAGAACACCUAUUUCCUUGCCUUGCAAGGCAUUCUAGAAGGCCCAUCUCUAACCCUAGCCACACCUAAACCUAGCCCAUUGUCUAACCUGAUUUCUUUAGGGUUUGUGGUGCCUAUAUAUAUGUGUUUUAAGCCUAAAUUCGUCACCACCCCUUCACACCAUUCAAACACACCUUGCCGCAACCCAACCCCUAAUCACCAUUCUACAUCACAAAACCCCAUCCUACAUCCAUACACAUCUCUGCCGCACCUUUUGGAGAAGAAGGAGAGCCUUGUCGUGCAUUCCAUUGAUGAAUGAGGGCCUUGUGCGCAAGCCAUCUGCAUCUUUGGGAGUUUUUAAGAGUUUUUUUCUUCUCUGUUUCUGUUUUCAUGUUUAAUUUAAAUUGCUUUUCAAUUAUGUUAGACAUGUGGAACUAAUUUCUUUUUAGUUAGAGGCGAAUUUGAAGCCAUGGACAUAUGUUUUAUAUGAUUUGAUUUCUUCCAAUUAUGAUUUCAGAAAUUGUGAAUGAGAUUUACUUAUCUAUUUGAUUGAUAACUUGUUUAUGUAUGUGGGUUGAGGGUCGACACUUAAUUUGCAUGCUUAAACUUGAUGCUAGGGUAUAAGGGAAUUUCACCUAAUCGUUAUUAACUUAUAUUCAUAAGUAGUGAAAAUCGCUAGUCACGAUUGUGUUAAGUAAAUCCUAGGCAAGAGUAACAUGCGUAUCCCAUAGUUAUGAAU